UAAUUUGCAGAGGAUGCUUUUGGCGCGGUGCCUUCCGAGUUCCCUGGAACGGGACGCCAUAGAGGGUGAGAGCCCCGUACGGUUGGACACCAAGCCUUUGUAAAGCUCCUUCGACGAGUCGAGUAGUUUGGGAAUGCUGCUCAAAAUGGGAGGUAUAUUUCUUCUAAAGCUAAAUAUAGGCCAGAGACCGAUAGCGCACAAGUAGAGUGAUCGAAAGAUGAAAAGCACUUUGAAAAGAGGGUUAAACAGCACGUGAAAUUGUUAAAAGGGAAGCGCUUGUGACCAGACUUGCGUCCGGUGAAUCACCCAGCUCUCGCGGCUGGGGCACUUCGCCGGCACAGGCCAGCAUCAGCUUGCCGUCGGGGACAAAAGCUUCAGGAACGUAGCUCUCUUCGGGGAGUGUUAUAGCCUGUUGCAUAAUACCCUUCGGCGGGCUGAGGUACGCGCUCCGCAAGGAUGCUGGCGUAAUGGUCAUCAGCGACCCGUCUUGAAA
rnacentral:rRNA from 1 species